CCUCAGGAGGGGGAUAACGGCUGGAGACGGCCGCCUAAUACCCCAUAUGCCGAGAGGUGAAAUGAAAUUCGCCUGAGGAUGAGCUCGCGUCUGAUUAGCUAGUUGGUGGGGUAAGAGCCUACCAAGGCGUCGAUCAGUAGCUGGUCUGAGAGGAUGAUCAGCCACACUGGGACUGAGACACGGCCCAGACUCCUACGGGAGGCAGCAGUGGGGAAUUUUCCGCAAUGGGCGAAAGCCUGACGGAGCAACGCCGCGUGAGGGAUGAAGGCCUCUGGGCUGUAAACCUCUUUUAUCAAGGAAG
rnacentral:rRNA from 1 species